CCCUUAGAUGUCCUGGGCCGCACGCGCGCUACACUGACAUGUUCAACAAGCCUCCUAGUUCGACAGGAUUUGGGAAAUCUUUGAACGCAUGUCGUGAUAGGGAUAGAUCAUUGCAAUUAUUGAUCUUGAACGAGGAAUUCCUAGUAAACGCGAGUCAUCAGCUCGCAUUGAUUACGUCCCUGCCCUUUGUACACACCGCCCGUCGCACCUACCGAUUGAAUGUUUCGGUGAAGAUUCCGGAUAGGACUUUUUUGAUUUAUUUCAAUUCUGUCUUAAAAGCUAUCUAAACCUCAACAUUUAGAGGAAGGUGGAGUCGUAACA
rnacentral:rRNA from 1 species